rnacentral:tRNA from 2 species
GGAGAGAUGCCGGAGUGGUCGAACGGGCUCGCCUGGAAAGCGAGUGUGCCCCAAAAGGGUACCUAGGGUUCGAAUCCCUAUCUCUCCG